rnacentral:rRNA from 1 species
GAUGAACGCUGGCUACAGGCUUAACACAUGCAAGUCGAGGGGAAACGACGGGGAAGCUUGCUUCCCCGGGCGUCGACCGGCGCACGGGUGAGUAACGCGUAUCCAACCUGCCUCUGACUGAGGGAUAACCCGUCGAAAGUCGGCCUAAUACCUCAUGGCAUCGUCUGCGGGCAUCCAACGACGAUUAAAGAUUUCAUCGGUCAGGGAUGGGGAUGCGUCUGAUUAGCUUGUUGGCGGGGUAACGGCCCACCAAGGCUACGAUCAGUAGGGGUUCUGAGAGGAAGGUCCCCCACAUUGGAACUGAGACACGGUCCAAACUCCUACGGGAGGCAGCAGUGAGGAGUAUUGGUCAAUGGGCGGGAGCCUGAACCAGCCAAGUAGCGUGCAGGAUGACGGCCCUAUGGGUUGUAAACUGCUUUUAUGCGGGGAUAAAGUGAGGGACGUGUCCUUCAUUGCAGGUACCGCAUGAAUAAGGACCGGCUAAUUCCGUG